GGCAGCGCCCCGUCGCCCCGGGAACGGUGCGCGGGCGGGGCGCUGCGACUCCUCGAUGAGAAUCCCAACGACUCUCGGCAACGGAUAUCUCGGCUCUCGCAUCGAUGAAGAACGUAGCGAAAUGCGAUACUUGGUGUGAAUUGCAGAAUCCC
rnacentral:rRNA from 1 species